rnacentral:rRNA from 1 species
UACAGAGGUCCCAAGCGUUGUUCGGAUUCACUGGGCGUAAAGGGUGCGCAGGUGGGCUGGCAAGUUCGAUGUGAAAGCCCCGGGCUUAACCCGGGAAUGGCAUUGGAAACUGCCGGCCUGGAGGAUCGGAGGGGGGACUGGAAUUCUUGGUGUAGCAGUGAAAUGCGUAGAUAUCAAGAGGAACACCAGUGGCGAAGGCGAGUCCCUGGACGAUACCUGACACUGAGGCACGAAAGCCAAGGGAGCAAACAGG